GAUGAACGCUGGCGGCGUGCCUAAUACAUGCAAGUCGAGCGACCGGACGAGAAGCUUGCUUCUCUGCUGUUAGCGGCGGACGGGUGAGUAACAAGUGGAUAACCUACCUCUAUGACUGGGAUAACUUCGGGAAACCGUAGCUAAUACCGGCUAAUAUUUUGAACCGCAUGGUUCAAAAGUGAAAGACGGUCUUGCUGUCACUUAUAGAUGGAUCCGCGCUGCAUUAGCUAGUUGGUAAGGUAACGGCUUACCAAGGCAACGAUGCAUAGCCGACCUGAGAGGGUGAUCGGCCACACUGGAACUGAGACACGGUCCAGACUCCUACGGGAGGCAGCAGUAGGGAAUCUUCCGCAAUGGGCGAAAGCCUGACGGAGCAACGCCGCGUGAGUGAUGAAGGUCUUCGGAUCGUAAAACUCUGUUAUUAGGGAAGAACAUAUGUGUAAGUAACUGUGCACAUCUUGACGGUACCUAAUCAGAAAGCCACGGCUAACUACGUG
rnacentral:rRNA from 1 species